rnacentral:rRNA from 1 species
CAGUCAUAUCAACGGGAAAUCAACCUUUUGAGUUCGGUCUUGUGGGUUUGAAGAGUUUCAAAGCCUUCGGAUUUGUGAGAUUGGGAUCUCUUGGUGCACUUUUUCGUACGGUUAGUCAACAUCGGUUUUAAUCAUUAUAAAAUGGUUGAAGGAAUGUAACUUUGAUUUCGAUUGAGGUAUUAUAGCCUUUGACAGAUGUAAUGAUCAAGGCCGAGGAUUGCAACGGAUACCCUUCAGGGCUAUUCGUCUGAUCUUUGGUACUUGUCUUUAGUAUCGGAAGCUUGCUAACGAUGUUAGGGUUCACGGGUCAAAGGUUGGAACGGAUUAAAUUCGUUAAGGAUGUUGACGUA